UGGACCUGGACCUGGACCUGGACCCAGCUGUGUGUCCUUUAAGAGCGACUGGUCAAAGGAUAUUCCUAUUGAUUUCAAACAAAGAGUUUCCUCCAACAACCAGAUCCAUCAGAGACUCAAAGCUGGACCUGAACCCAGCUGUGUGUCCUUAAAGAGCGACAGGUCAAAGGGUGAUCUUACUGAUUUUAAAUCAGUCCAGCCUCCAUCAGCAGAGAGAGUGGACCAGCAGAGCUCAGAGGUUCCCAGAGUUCAGUCUGCCCAGCAGC